UACAGAGGGUGCGAGCGUUAAUCGGAAUUACUGGGCGUAAAGCGUGCGCAGACGGUCAUGUAAGUCGGGUGUGAAAGCCCCGGGCUCAACCUGGGAAUUGCAUUCGAGACUGUGUGGCUAGGGUGCGGAAGAGGGAAGCGGAAUUUCCGGUGUAGCGGUGAAAUGCGUAGAUAUCGGAAGGAACACCAGUGGCGAAAGCGGCUUCC
rnacentral:rRNA from 1 species